rnacentral:rRNA from 1 species
UUAAGCUAAGAAGAGCGUAGGGAGAAUGCCUUGGCAUUAGGAGCCGAUGAAGGACGUGAUAAGCUGCGAUAAGCUGCGGGGAUCAGCAAGUAUGAAUUGAUCCGCAGAUUUCCGAAUGGAGCAAUCCGUAUGUGUAUGCACAUACAUCAUAUACUGAAUCAAAUAGGUAUAUGAGGGGAACCGCCUGAACUGAAACAUCUAAGUAGGGCGAGGAAGAGAAAUCAACCGAGAUUCUGUGAGUAGUGGCGAGCGAAAGCGGAAGAGGCUAAACCAUAGGUAGCAAUACUUAUGGGGUUUCGGACAGCAUUUAGUAUUGAUAAUUUCUAGUUGAAACGUGUGGGAAAACGUACCGAAGAGUGUGAGAGUCACGUAAGCGAAAGAGAAAGUCAGCGAGCUGUAUCCAAAGUACCGCGGGACACGUGAAACCCCGUGGGAAGAUGGGGGGACCAUCCUCCAAGCCUAAAUACUACCUAAUGACCGAUAGCGAAUAGUACUGUGAAGGAACGGUGAAAAGAACCCCGGGAGGGGAGUGAAAAAGAACCUGAAACCCUAUGCUUACAAGCACCGAGAGCACGUCAAAGUGUGAUCGGGUACCUUUUGUAGAAUGGUCCGGCGAGUUAUUGUAUGCGGCAAGGUUAAGUGCUUAAGGCACGGAGCCGAAGCGAGAGCAAGUCUGAACAGGGCGAAAAAGUCGUAUGCAAUAGACCCGAAACCGAGUGACCUAUCCAUGUCCAGGCUGAAGUGGAGGUAAAACUCCAUGGAGGGCCGAACACACGUCCGUUGAAAAGGCCGGUGAUGAGGUGUGGAUAGCGGAGAAAUUCCAAUCGAACUCGGAUAUAGCUGGUUCUCUCCGAAAUAGCUUUAGGGCUAGCCUCGUGAAAGAUUACUGGAGGUAAAGCACUGAAUGGGCUAGGGGUCGAAAGAUUACUGAACCCUAUCAAACUAAGAAUGCCAGAUAAUUGAUUCACGGGAGUCAGACAAUGUGAGAUAAGUCUCAUUGUCAAAAGGGAAACAGCCCAGACCCACAGCUAAGGUCCCUAAACAUUGUUAAGUGGAAAAGGAUGUGGGGUUGCAUAAACAACCAGGAUGUUGGCUUAGAAGCAGCCACUCAUUAAAAGAGUGCGUAAUAGCUCACUGGUCGAGUGACCCUGCGCCGAAAAUUCAACGGGGCUAAACAAUGUACCGAAGCUUGGGAUUCUAGAUUUAUCUAGAGUGGUAGGAGAGCGUCGAAUAAGGGGUGAAGUCAGAGCGGAAGCGCUGGUGGACUUUAUUCGAGUGAGAAUGCCGGAAUGAGUAGCGAGAAUUAUGUGAGAAUCAUAAUGGCCGAAAAUCUAAGGUUUCCUGAGGAAGGUUCGUCCGCUCAGGGUAAGCCGGGGGCUAAGGCGAGGCGGAGACGCGUAGCCGAUGCACAUACGGUUGAAAUUCCGUAGCCACCGAAAGAUUUAAGUACAGGGACGCUUUAGAAGUGAUGUAGCCGGGCGAUGGUUGACCCGGUCGUAAGGGAUCGAAAAUGAGUAGAGAAGUCAUCAUGGAAAGAGACAAGAAAAGCUGUAUGAAUAUCUUAGGUGCCCGUACCGCAAACCGACACAGGUAGAUAGGAAGAAGAUUCUAAGGCCAACGGGAGAAGGGUUGUUAAGGAACUCGGCAAGUUGACCCCGUAACUUAGGGAUAAGGGGUGCUCAAGUGAUUGAGCCGCAGAGAAUAGGCCCAGGCGACUGUUUAGCAAAAACACAGGUCUCUGCUAAAUCGAAAGAUGACGUAUAGGGGCUGACACCUGCCCGGUGCCGGAAGGUUAAGAGGAGAUGUGAGAGCAUUGAAUUGAAGCCCCGGUAAACGGCGGCCGUAACUAUAACGGUCCUAAGGUAGCGAAAUUCCUUGUCAGGUAA